GGGGGACACACAUUUUACCACUUUGGAAGUGUCUCUCGCGCAAACUAUUCAUAUGGGAAACCCCCAAAAUGUAUUGUUUUUUUUUUUCUAUUUUUGUGUGAAAAUCUUAAUGCGGUUCACAGAAUACAUCUACUUACCAAGUU